GGGAGAAGAGAAGACCAUUGGAGAUGCUUGAGAGACAAGGAAGUUGCCAUGCCUCCAACACCACUAAGGGAAAGCUGAGACUGCAGCAAGAUCGGGUAGAAGAAGCACCGUCAUGACCGUGGAGACCAUCAGGACCACUAAUAAAAAGGAUGCCACAACCUUGGUUACCGGCAUCAGUCACCAGACUACAAGGAUUUGGUUU
rnacentral:lncRNA from 1 species